AUAUAUUACUAGGGCCGGCCCGCCCUACGGGCGGGAUGAGUUCUUAGAAAUUAUAUAAAUAGUUAGAGUAAAUAUUCAAUAUAAAUUGUUAUAUUUUAAAAUAUACAUAUUAGUUAAAUUUUGUAUAUAUUAUUGUAUUUGAAGACUAAAUAUACCAUACCGUAUUGAUAAGUAUUUUUUUUUUCAUCGUGUCAUCACAUAAUUUUUAGUAGUUUUCUGGUAUUGGAUGCAUCUAAAGAGUAUAGUGAGGAAAGAGACAAACUUGUAAUCAUAGAUUAACCAAGCAUUUUGAGUAAAAUUUAUUAUUAAGUCGGUUAAUUAUUAGUUGUGUAAACCAGAAACAAUAAUAUUAAAGUAUUGUAUCAUAUUAUAAUAACGUGUGUUAUAUAACGUGUUAAACGUAUAUUUUAUAUGCAUUUGUGAAGUUUUAUCCAUAUUAAUAACUUUUGUUAAUGUGAAAGAUUACAAUAUAAAUAAAUAAACUUUUAAAGAUUUUUUUGAGGAUUCAUAGUUAGAGCAAUCAACCCUCACAUUUUCAUUUUGAGAUUUUGAUCCCUUUAAAAUAAGGUUUUAAGUUGGAGAUGACGUAGUAAGUGGCUUUGAGUAUGUGAUUUAAUGCAAUAGUCCAGCUGUUUUCUUUGCUUUGGAGCAAGAAGAAUUCCAACUAUUUUCCACACAUGCAAAAAAUUGUUAUUACGCCUUCUCCUCUUAAUGCAAUUAAUACAAUAAAUAAUAUUUUUUUGUAAAAUAAUUUGUGUAUACGUAUCUCUUUAAGACCAAAUGAUCUCUUUAAAUAAUUUGUUGCAUUUCUAUCCUUUAAUUCACAUAUAUUUUUGAGAAAUUCUCUAGGAUAUUAUUUUUUGAGUUUUUGUCACAAAAAUGACCAUCAAUGAAGAAAAUGAUCAAAAUAAAUUUUAUUAAAUAGUAAAUAUAAGAGAAUUUCUUAGGGUUAUCAAAUCUAAACUUAGAGUUUAGAGUUAAGGAGUGUGGUUUUAGGGAUAUAGUUUAAAAAAAAAUUUAAAAAAUUAAAUAUUAAAAAAUUCAAAAUAAAAAAGACUAUUUUGAUCUUUUCUUUCUAAAACGCUAUUAAAUAUCAAAUUAUCAUAAUGGUACAUUAAUCGUAUUCUCCCUUGAUAAUCACAGCAAACAAUUAUUUGUUUCCAAAUUUAAAACUGUUGUAAGAAAUUGUUAAACAGAACAUACGCAUUUAUAAAAUUAUAACAUAGAAAGAAAUAACUCAAAGAAUCGUGUGGGACCCCAUAACAGCUUCAUUGUCCAAAAAAUCAUCCCCAUAGAAAAAUGAUUAAAACAUAAAUUCAAUUAACUUUACCCUAGCCUCCUCCCUCCUUUUAACUUUACCCUAGCCUCCUCUCUCCUUUUUUAUUUAGAUCUAAGCAAAGCAUUGUCCUCGGAGCCGUCUCCUGGAUUAGCCACCAUCUCCACUAUCAAACUCCACAGCCACCACACCUUCUUCUUCUCCUUCGCCGCCACCCAUUAUUCCCACAUUUCCUCCUCUGUCUUCUCCCUCUACACCCUCUGUUCUUAAUCUAUCUCCACCCACUCUAUCUACGCCGGGAUCUUCGCCGCCUUUUCCUAAGCCGUCUCCACCCGCUCCAACUCAGCCGUCUCCACCCGCUCCAACUACACUGGGAUCUCCUACCGCACCUAUCACUCCUCCUAGACCCCCUACUCUAAACCCUCCAUCAUCCUCAGGACCACCGUCCAAUCCCUCAAGUGGCGGCAGCGGAGGGCCUUCUCGAACUCCAUCUUCGCCGUCUCCGCCGUGUCGUCUUCUUCUUCCGAUGGAUUAUUAGCUUGUAAGAAGAAACGAAGAAGAGACGAAGAAGAUGUUUACUAUGUUCCUCCACCUCCUUCUGUCCCAAAGCCGGAGGACCAUACGGUGGACAACAACAACAAUGGCGGCAACAAAACGCAACAACAAUGGCGGCAACAAAACGCAACACCACCGUCAGAUCAUGUCGUGACGUUACUAUCACCGCCAUACAUCAUAUCAGGUUCUAUAUUGGUACGGGGAGAGAUUUCUAAAUAGUACUCUUGUUUAAGUCAGGUGUGGGCUUUGUUUUCUCUGGUGAAUCAAGGUUAGAGUUAGUAUACUUCUCCCAGCAACCAUCUGCGAAGAAAUCAUCACCAAUUAUUGAAGGCCUGAUGUAGUAAAGGUAGGAGUUUUCACGGGGAUUGAAAAUCAUGGGGAGACGGUGGUGGCAAACGUCUCUAGCGUCGAUGUUAGAGUAGAGACGAUGAGGUUUCCCCUAGUUCUUUCUAGAUCUCUCUUCAAAUCUCUAAUUACAUCUUAGUGUGUUAAUUUUUAGUAUUAACAGUUUGGUUAGAUGUAAUUAGCUUGUUGUAUUUGGGCCUUCGUUUGCACUUUUCAAAUCCAUUUGGGCUUUAAUGGAAAAAGUGGUAAAAACAUGUUCACGUUAAA